AUACUUACCUGGCAGGGGAGAGAUCAUGAAGGUGAUUUCCCAGGGCAAGGCUUAUCCAUUGCAUUCUAGAUAUGCUGACCUCUGUGAUUUCCCCAAAUGUGGGGAACUCGACUGCAGAAUUUGUGAUGGGAGGACAGGUAAGGCGUUUACACUCUUCCCUG